rnacentral:misc_RNA from 1 species
GGGAGUCGUUUAAAACAUUACAAGGGGCCCUCUUAGAUAAAGCAACUGAAUGUGUUGCUGAUUCUACUGAAACUCCAACUCACAACCGCCGGCCAACACGUGGAAGUGAUGAUGUGUUUCUGGAUGACCGGCAGCAAGGGAUGACUGUAUCACCCGAUGACCUGAUUGCUCUUGCCCAGCAGUAUAGUUCUGAGUUACUUCAAUCUGAACUUGAGAGGACUAGACUCAAUACAGCAUGCUUUGUGGAAUCAACUCCCCUGGAUUCUGUUCCAGAAUCAGCAAAGGCAGCACAUGCCUCUUUAAGAGGAUCUGUGGACUCUCCAAGUAGAAAUUUUAGGGGAUCACAACAUAUUGGUUCCCCGAGUUUUUCCAGGCCCAGACGUAGAUAAGUUAGUUUGAUUUUCUCUUCUGUCAGUUUUUCUCCUGUAAUGUUUGUGCAGUUGUUGUAUUUUAGCCAUUCAUACAUUCUCUUGUCAGAAGAAAGGCGCUUUUGCUGAUAAUGAAACCAUCGCCAACCUCAUUUGAAAUUCAUUCAUAUAUGUGUAGAGAAUUGGGAAAGUUUUUUUGUCAAAAGACCAUUUCACUGUUUUUAUUCAAUUUUUCAUUGUCUACAGUCAGAAUAAAAUUUUUGUAUCUUGUUGCAUUUUGGAUAAUUUUGCCUUGUAUGAAUUUGUUCAC